CCUACGGGGAGCAGCAGUGAGGAAUAUUGGUCAAUGGGCGUAAGCCUGAACCAGCCAAGUCGCGUGAGGGAUGAAGGUUCUAUGGAUCGUAAACCUCUUUUAUAAGGGAAUAAAGUGCGGGACGUGUCCCGUUUUGUAUGUACUUUAUGAAUAAGGAUCGGCUAACUCCGUGCCAGCAGCCGCGGUAAUACGGAGGAUCCGAGCGUUAUCCGGAUUUAUUGGGUUUAAAGGGAGCGUAGAUGGGUUGUUAAGUCAGUUGUGAAAGUUUGCGGCUCAACCGUAAAAUUGCAAUUGAUACUGGCAGUCUGGAGUACAGUUGAGGUAGGCGGAAUUCGUGGUGUAGCGGUGAAAUGCAUAGAUAUCACGCAGAACUCCGAUUGCGAAGGCAGCAUACCGGCGCCCGACUGACGCUGAGGCACGAAAGCGUGGGGAUCGAACAGGAUUAGAUACCCCAGUAGUC
rnacentral:rRNA from 1 species